rnacentral:rRNA from 1 species
UGUCGUCAGCUCGUGUUGUGAAAUGUUGGGUUAAGUCCCGCAACGAGCGCAACCCUUAUCCUUUGUUGCCAGCGGUCCGGCCGGGAACUCAAAGGAGACUGCCAGUGAUAAACUGGAGGAAGGUGGGGAUGACGUCAAGUCAUCAUGGCCCUUACGACCAGGGCUACACACGUGCUACAAUGGCGCAUACAAAGAGAAGCGACCUCGCGAGAGCAAGCGGACCUCAUAAAGUGCGUCGUAGUCCGGAUUGGAGUCUGCAACUCGACUCCAUGAAGUCGGAAUCGCU